rnacentral:lncRNA from 1 species
AUGCCUGAGGAGAAAAGAGAAUUCCAAAAGGACCAUCUUACAAAACAAAAGAAAGAGCUGACUGACAAGAUAACAUAUGUAGCACCUGAUCAGGAAGCUGCUAAAAGAACACUGACUGCUGAAAAUGAUAAACUGAAGCAAUAUAAAGGUCAAGAAUGGCAAACCGUAGAAAGCCCUAGAAAAACAACUGAGCAAAGUAAUAUAAUAUGGAAAAAGAAAUUCCAGAUUCUACAAAAGAGCUUGCAUGCCAUUAAGGAUGAGAUGUUUCUUAGGCAAACCCUGCAACGUCGGUUAUUUGUGUUUAAAAGUACAUCCCUCAGUGAGACAAUGUCUUUUCCUGUUUAUAUUGAAAAUGAUACACAAGAUGUGAAAGGAUUCAGAGGUGGCUUAUAUUUACCUUUAACUUUGCCUCCAAUACAAUCCCAGUCUACUGAACAGCAGAAAGAAGGUGAAGAUAAUUUUCUUAGACUUACAAAUGCAACAAAAAAGGACAGUGUAUUUGAAGAUGCAGGACAGCAUGCAACAAGAAGGAAAAGGAUGUGA